ACAGCUCCCAUGCAGACAGCCAGGAUAAGGGACACACUCAUCACAGAACCUUCCCUGCCAGCCGUACUGACACCUAAAACAGAAAGAAAAAGCCUCAGUAAGCUACCAUAUGGGGAAGGCAUUUACCCAAUAUCCUUCAUUCAAUACAAAUACAUGGUGUGUACCCUGGUCCUGGACUAGGUGUGGGACUCAGCUCACAGGCAGAACACCCAUCCAGAAUGACUGUAAGGGGUACUCAUUUUCAUGACUUGAGAGCAGUCAGGGGAAUGAAGGGAGAACACAGGAGAAGAGAGAGGCUGCUGCCCAUCAGGCUCCUUGCCAGGCUACUACUUUCCUUUACAAGGGUGCCUGGCGAGCUACAUAUCCUGCUAUGUGCAAGUCUAGGCUAGGCACUGAGCAAAAUAAUGAUGGAGCUCACUUUUGCUCAGCAAAAUUUACAAGUCUCUCUGUGUGAUGAAAGUAGAGGAUGUAUUCUGGACCAUAUUUUAUGGAAGAAGCAAUUGAAUCUCAAAGAGAAGUGCUUUUGCUUGUGGGCCAUAUAGUAGCUAAGUAAUGGGAAGCUCCUGAGUUCUUCAAUUCGCUUUAUGACACCAUGCUAGCUCUGUUCUGUCUCUGCAAAGACACCUAUGAUGGAGGUCACACGCUGAAGGAUUCCACAUUCCAGAAGGGAGAAGGACAUUUGAACACAUAAUGCUGAUAGGAGGAAGAAUGUGAUGAGCAGAAUUGUGAGGUGGAGACAAAGGGGAAUGGGAAAUAGGAAGAGAAGAGCACUUUCAUUGUGUGAAAAGAGAGGGUGGAAAUCAGAGAUGGCUCACUGGUUGGAUCCUGAGAAAAGGGAAGAAUCUCACUAGAUGGAGAGAGGGUUGAACAAUCAAUUCUCAUUGUGGAGGAAGGUGUGAGUAAAGGCCAAGGGGUGAAGGAAGGCAGGAGAGAAAUGAGACAAAAUGGGUCUAGUAUCAAACUGGAAUAGAAACUAAUCCCUGCAUCUGUCAACUGACAGAGAAAACCAGAAAUUGCCUUAAGUUGGAUAUGUCUGGUAAAGAAGCAUAGUAUAUAAUUGUUGAUAAAGUCAAGAGCUUAAAAAAUCAGGAUGAGUCCCACCUGUGUGACCCUGAGCAAGUCACUUAACCCCCCACUGCCCAGCCCUUACUUACGCGGUAUUGAUUCUAAGAAAGAAGGUAAGAAUUUUUUUAAAAUGAGGACAAGAGUUUAACACUAUUGUCUACAGGCAACAGGGCAAUAGAAUAACAUGCUCAGACCUGUGUAUCAGGGAGACACUGGCAGAGUGGAGGUGGGAUGCAUUGGAGGGAAAGAGGCUGAAGACUGGGAGAGUCAGGAGUCUAUUAUUAUAGUCCAGGUGAGAAUAGAUGAGAGUCUGAUCUAGAGUUGAGACUGUGGGAGUGGAAUCUGAGAGGCUAGGCAGGAAACAGUGGUCACAGUUUGGCCCCCGCAGCUAUGAGAUAGCAAGACUGGUUAUUUUGAGGUGGGGGGAAGGGCUGGAUAGAGAGAGUCAGAAAGACAGCUGUCUUGUCAGUUUCCCCAGAGUUAUUUUAGGAGUGAGUCUACUCUAUCCACAAAAUAUCUGGAAGGACAGACACUGGCGUCCUUAGUAAAGUCAGGCACAGAAACACUUCAGAAAGGGGAAGAUGAGAAAUCAAGGGAAAAAAAAAUCUGAUUGCCUUCUAUAUUCCUAAAUACAUCCUCCAGGGGGGCAGUGGAUGAGAGAGAGAGAGGGACUCUAUGGCCUGAGCAGUGUGUUAGGAUUCCUCUUAGAGCCACUUUUUGUUGAAAUAUGAGCAAUAAAAAAGUCUCUUCCUGCUGCUCCUCAAAGUUGGUCUCCUUGUCCAAGGAAGAGGAACUUGAAAUUCUGGUUUGUGCUGCUAGAAAGUAAGAGAUUUAAUUAUUUAGGCAGCAGAAUGAAUAGAGUCAGGAAGGCUUGAGUUCAAGGUCUUACUGACAUAUAUUAGCUAUGCGUCCCUGGGCAAGUCAGUGGUACUGGCACAUGCUAAGAAUUUAAGUCACAGAAUAGGUAGCAAUUAGCAUUUCGAGAGGAGUUUCUCCUCAAACCUCCAAUAGGUUUGGACAAACCAAACCAAAGCAGUCUCAUUAUAGUGGGAUCCUUAGGGGAAAAAACAAAAGAUGGAGACACUAUAUGAGGUUCUACUAGUACUACUACCCUACCCCAUACAAUUCAGUUAACUAGAGGAAAUUUACUUCUACUUUGAUCUUUUUUUUUUUACUUCUACUUUGAUCUUUUUUUUUUUAAUAAAUUUUUACCUUCCGUCUUGGAGUCAAUACUGUGUAUUGGCUCCAAGGCAGAAGAGUGGUAAGGGCUAGGCAAUGGGGGUUAAGUGACUUUCCCAGGGUCACACAGCUGGGAAGUGUCUGAGGCCAGAUUUGAACCUAGGACCUCCCGUCUCUAGGCCUGGCUCUCAAUUCAUUGAGCUACCCAACUGCCCCCUACUUUGAUCUUUUGAUAGGGCCCCUUCUUAACUUUAUGGAGCACCAGUCAUCCAAGUCGUCUUUUCUUGUGUAAUGCUUGAUCAUAGUGACAUCUAGUCAACAUGCCUGUCUUCUGGGCCAUUUCAUAUUAAACAGAUAUGGAAAGAGUUAUCUUUUCCAACUAUGCACAGAAGGAAAACACUUAAUUAUAUAGAGGAGUUCAUUAAAGAUAAAUGGUUAAUUUUGAGUAGAUAAAACUGAAAGUUUUCUUUUCCAUUUUUUUCUCUGUGAAGAUAGGAUUAACAUGUCUAUUUUUAGCUAAUCAAAUCAAGAACUAACCCUAGUUCACAAGUCACUUCCUAGAGUAAGUGACAACUCCAAAGGCAACUUCCCCGCUUCCCCACCCCUACCCCCACCUUGGGCAGUGCUAGACAAAUUGAAAGACUACCAUUGGUUUUUGUGAAGAAGGGGGAGUGACAGGAAGUGACAUGGAAGAAAGGAGGAUAAAAGAGGAAACCAGCAUGGUCUAGGGGGAUUCCUUUCCUCGUUUCUGGAGAGACUGGUUGCAGAGAUUCCUGCUUUGGCUUUGGAGGAAUUUGCAUUGGUGGAACCCUGGAUGAAGACACCACAGGGACUUCUGGCUUGGAGAGAUUCCUGCCUUGGUGGCUCUGUGAGGAGACCCUCUCUGCUCAUUGGCGCUUUGGUGGGUUGGUUCUGUGGAGAGACUUUUUCUUGGAUCCUUGGCUUGCUGAUGCAGAACAAGAAGAAACCUUUGAGGUCCAACUCAUGUGUUAUUCCCUCCAGGAAGUCAACCUACAUUAAUCCUCACUAAUCUCUUUCCUUCCUCUUCACAGAAAGCACUAUCUAUGACCACAGAUUUCUAGCACUUGAUUUAUUUUCUGUCCCUUGAAUAAAUGCUCUGCCUUUGUGAGUCCUUCAUUCCAA